rnacentral:ncRNA from 2 species
AAUACAUAUUGCAAGUCAGGUGUCGUAAUAGACUCAAUAGAGAAGUCCGGUGUAAAACCGGCGCGGUCCCGCCGCUGUAAGGAGGAGGUCUGCUGCAUAAAUGUCACUGUGCCAUAUGAGCAUGGGAAGGCGCUGCAGACUGAUGAAUCCGAGCCAGAAGAACUGCCUGACUGAUAAUCACCGA